rfam:Schistosoma mattheei strain Denwood, Zambia genome assembly, scaffold: SMTD_scaffold0011909
AUCCGGCUGACGAGUCCCAAAUAGGACGAACCGCGUGUCCUGGUU